rnacentral:rRNA from 1 species
GAUGAACGCUAGCGGCAGGCUUAAUACAUGCAAGUCGAGGGACAGCACAGGUAGCAAUACUGGGUGGUAACCGGCAAACGGGUGCGGAACACGUACACAACCUUCCUUUAAGUGGGGGAUAGCCCAGAGAAAUUUGGAUUAAUACCCCGUAAUAUAGUUGAAUGGCAUCAUUUGAUUAUUAUAGCUACGGCGCUUAAUGAUGGGUGUGCGGCUGAUUAGAUAGUUGGCGGGGUAACGGCCCACCAAGUAUACGAUCAGUAGCUGAUGUGAGAGCAUGAUCAGCCACACGGGCACCGAGACACGGGCCCGACUCCUACGGGAGGCAGCAGUAGGGAAUAUUGGUCAAUGGACGCAAGUCUGAACCAGCCAUGCCGCGUGAAGGAUUAAGGUCCUCUGGAUUGUAAACUUCUUUUAUUUGGGACGAAAAAGGGCCUUUCUAGGUCAACUGACGGUACCAGAUGAAUAAGCACCGGCUAACUCCGUGCCAGCAGCCGCCGUAACAC